AGGGGUAUAGCUCAGCAGGUAGAGCAGCGGUCUCCAAAACCGCGUGUCGUGGGUUCGAUUCCUACUGCCCCUGCCA
rnacentral:tRNA from 1 species